rnacentral:rRNA from 1 species
AACGAACGCUGGCGGCAGGCUUAACACAUGCAAGUCGAACGCAUCCUUCGGGGUGAGUGGCAGACGGGUGAGUAACGCGUGGGAACGUGCCCUUCAGUUCGGGAUAACCCAGGGAAACUUGGGCUAAUACCGGAUACGUGCGAGAGCAGAAAGAUUUAUCGCUGAAGGAUCGGCCCGCGUCUGAUUAGCUAGUUGGUGGGGUAAUGGCCCACCAAGGCGACGAUCAGUAGCUGGUCUGAGAGGUUGAUCAGCCACAUUGGGACUGAGACACGGCCCAAACUCGUACGGGAGGCAGCAGUGGGGAAUAUUGGACAAUCGGCGCAAGCCUGAUCCAGCCAUGCCGGGUGAUUGAUGAAGGCCUUAGGGUUGUAAAGCUCUUUCGUCCGGGACGAUAAUGACGGUACCGGAAGAAGAAGCCCCGGCUAACUUCGUGCCAGCCGCCGCCGUAA